rnacentral:rRNA from 1 species
CCUACGGGUGGCAGCAGUCGAGAAUUAUUCACAAUGGGCGCAACCCUGAUGCUGCGACGCCGCGUGGAGGAAUGAAGCUCUUCGGUUUGUAAACUCCUGUCAUGUGGGAGCAUAUUAGACGGUUCGUACCACAUGAGGAAUAGCCGACUACCUCGGUGCCAGCGGCUGCGGUCAUACAUAGGUCUCAAGCGUUGUUCGUACUGACUGGGCGUAACGUGUGCGUAGGCUGUUUCGUAAGUCGUGUGUGACAGGCGCGGGCGCAACCGGCGGACGGCACAUGAUACUGCGAGACUAGAGUAAUGGAGGGGGAGCCGGAAUUCGUGGUGUAGCGGUGAAAUGCGUAGAUAUCGAGAGGAACACUCGUGGCGAAGGCGGGUUCCUGGACAGCAACUGACGCUGAGGCACGAAAGCCAGGGGAGCGAAAGGGAUUAGAUACCCUAGUAGUC